ensembl:lncRNA
CGCACACACAGACUCUCCCCCCAGCUAUCAGAGCGGGCUUCCCCCUCCCACCGCCCUCGCUCCCCUCCCUCCUCCUCCUCCUCCUCUCCCAUGCUCCCGCUCCGCUGUGGAGGGGAGGGAGAGAUCCCCCGCUUCACGAUUCUCCCCUGGAAACCCCAGCUGCUGGCUAGACCGAGCGGUUACUCGGGCAGCCUGCUCGCACACCGUAAUGGCGCUCCCUGCAUCUAAGGCUACCAUAAUCCACAAAGAAGGGACGCGACGAGGCGAGGCGCUGCACGGCAUGGUGAGAACGUGUCCGACGGCGGAGACGGAAGGACCUUCAUUUAAGAAAAUCUUUGGCUUCUACCCUGAGAAAAACGGGAGAACUUGUCUCGCGGACAAACCGCCGUUUAACUGACGGAGAGGGGGAUGGGAACGCUGUGGGAAUCCAUGAAGAAUGGCUGUAUUUGCUUGAUGCCUCUUAUAUCGGCGAUCGCGGUAGGAUCUGUUUUUACGCGCUCCCCGAAAUGCGCCGUCGCCGGUUGGUGUGUGAAUGUGUUAGACUACUACCGGCCAAUACCGGGGAUGGUUUCAUAUUUGAAUUUUACAAGGACACGGGAACAUACAGCCCAUCGCGCACGACAUUACGUCGAUGACACUCCCUCUCGUGACAGGGAGGCUGCUCCACGGCGCCAUUUUCAAAGAGCUUCUUUGCAUAUGUGGUUUGUUUUGUUCCGCGAGCGGGGCUUCGUCUCAUAUUACACACGAGCUGCAGACGACGAUACUGCGGAAAACAACUAAAUGGAAAUGCUUAGCUGUCGCAGAGAACUUGAUAGCAGAGAUUUUAGGAUGGAAAAAUGGAAAAGGUGCAAGGAUACUAAAUCUUUUUUUUUAUUGUAUUUAUUUAUUUGAAUUUUAAGGCAUACGUCUGGGAAUAAUGAACGGUUGCAUUAUUCGUGUUUAUCCAAUCGAGUCAGGUAAGUUUUUUGGGACAAUUUAUUUUUUCUCCCUCACAUUUCCCUUAGCCAUCUGUUAGUCUACGAAAACAACGUGCGUUGGAGAGGCUUAAAAUAGAAUGUACAUCAACUAUAGGCCUAAAAAUAGGCUCAACAAAACAAAAAACAAAAGCGGACCUAAAUAAAUUCAUACAUGUUUGUUUUAUUUUAAAUUAGAAGAAAAAUAUAACGCUAUUUAAAAUCGUGUAGCCUAACGUUAUUUAAAAACUGAAAUAAUUAGGGCCUUAUUUUAAUUAAUUUAGCAAUUGUUUUUAUUUAUUAUUAUUAUUUUUAUUUAGUUAUAGUUAAAUUAUACUUUACUGAAAUAUUAAGCUUUGCAAGGAAACACACACUUUUCUGUCCUUUUUCCAUUCUCCCAUAUAAUCUUGAUUUUAAAUAUAUCGACUAAAAUUAGGCUAUAUUUUUUGAACCACUACAAUUAAUACAAUUAUUAUAAAGCCUUUAUCUAAAGCUUGAAAAGUGGUAGUUUGUAGUCGUAGUAAUUUACUCGGACAUAAAGCAACGGCGCAUUCAAGGCGUAAAAUCCACACCAAUAAAAACCUAAAAUCGAUGAAACGGGCGGGGUGGGCGCGCCACAUUCGCCAUGUUGAAAUCCUUUGUGUGUGUGUGUGUGUGUGUGUGUGUGUGUGUGUGUGUGUGUGUGUGUGUGUGUGUGUGUGUGUGUGUGUGUGUGUGUGUGUGUGUGUGUGUGUGUGUGUGUGUGAGAGAGUGUAAGAGCCUGUGUGUGUGUGUGUGUGUGUGUGUGUGUGUGUGUGUGUGUGUGUGUGUGUGUGUGUGUGUGUGUGUGUGUGUGUGUGUGUAUGUGUGUGUCUGUUUGUGCGUAGGCCUAUGUGUACGCGCUUGGCUCCAGAGAAAAAUGGCCUGUUCAUAUUUAGUUUAUUAUUAUUUCUCUAUUUCCUUUAAAUCAUAAAAACUAAAGGUUGUAGCCUAUGAACCUUUAAGAUUUAAAUAGGUUCAAAGUUCGAGUUGAAGAAUGUCGCUAUAUGAUUACGUUAUUUAAAUAGAAAGAUAACAGGAUAUAUGCACAAUAACAUUAAGAAAAUGUAAUAGAUAAAUAUUUUCUCGUUACUCACAUUAUACAUUUCAAUAAGAUAGCAUAGGCCUUAUGGUCUUGUAUAGUUCUACGUAUUUUAUUGCUCUAAUGAAAAUAAGUUUUGCCACCGUGCAGACUCUAGCCUAUGCCUUAUAUAUAGGGGCAUAGGCCACUUUUCAGUUGUCCCACGUUGGUCAUACUAAAUAGCGUACACGCUUUUGAAUCUCAAACGAUUUUUAUUUGUGGUUGACGUGGACUAUUUUAAAAAAGUAUUUUUUUGCAUAGGUUUUUUUCCUGCUUAGAGCAAACGGUUGUUGGUGAAGUUAACUCGAAGUGACUGCAGCGAGAGGGGAGCUCUGACUAUGGACAUGACGACGGCGAAAAUAGCAUAUAGCAAUAAUAAUAAUAACACGGGCCCUUUUAAGACAGAGUACUCGGGGUAAAUAGCUGCACACUAAAAAACAAUCAGGAUCUUCUGCUCUCUUAAUUUCAGUCCAACCGUCUACGACUCGUCUAUUAAUGUGUAUAUAUUCCUGGAGUAACAGGCAUUCACUUUAUUUUUCUCCAUUUGAAGGGGUAAAUAAAUACAUUUAUUUGAAUCCAACAAGGUUUGCAAACGUUUUUUCGGGAGCCUGCUGCGUGUCAAAAAUAGCACUAUCAGAGUUACUCAGCUCAUACUAAUGAUUAUCAUACAGUAACAAUAUAUAUAUAUAUAUAUAUAUAUAUAUAUAUAUAUAUAUAUAU